UGGGGAAUAUUGGACAAUGGGCGCAAGCCUGAUCCAGCCAUGCCGCGUGUGUGAAGAAGGCCUUCGGGUUGUAAAGCACUUUCAGUGGUGAGGAAGGCGUUGUAGUUAAUAGCUGCAACGAUUGACGUUAGCCACAGAAGAAGCACCGGCUAACUCCGUGCCAGCAGCCGCGGUAAUACGGAGGGUGCGAGCGUUAAUCGGAAUUACUGGGCGUAAAGCGCACGUAGGCGGCUUGUUAAGCAAGAUGUGAAAGCCCAGGGCUCAACCUUGGAAUUGCAUUUUGAACUGGCAAGCUAGAGUUUUGAAGAGGGUGGUAGAAUUUCCAGUGUAGCGGUGAAAUGCGUAGAUAUUGGAAGGAAUACCAGUGGCGAAGGCGGCCACCUGGUCAAAAACUGACGCUGAGGAGCGAAAGCGUGGGGAGCAAACAGGAUUAGAUACCCUGGUAGUCCACGCCGUAAACGAUGUCAACUAGUUGUUCGUGUCUUUGAGACGUGAGUAACGCAGCUAACGCACUAAGUUGACCGCCUGGGGAGUACGGCCGCAAGGUUAAAACUCAAAUGAAUUGACGGGGGCCCGCACAAGCGGUGGAGCAUGUGGUUUAAUUCGAUGCAACGCGAAGAACCUUACCAUCCCUUGACAUCCAGAGAAUUUUNCAGAGAUGGAGAAGUGCCUUCGGGAACUCUGAGACAGGUGCUGCAUGGCUGUCGUCAGCUCGUGUUGUGAGAUGUUGGGUUAAGUCCCGCAACGAGCGCAACCCUUAUCCUUAGUUGCCAGCACGUAAUGGUGGGAACUCUAGGGAGACUGCCGGUGAUAAACC
rnacentral:rRNA from 1 species